rnacentral:lncRNA from 1 species
CACAUUUGCAGUUUUUCUUUUAUACAUAUUCUUGUAUGCCCCAGGAAGGCAUUUGAGCUUGCAUCUCUUAAAUUAGAUAAAUAUCAGCUUACACUGUCUUUUCUGACCCUUACUGGAUCCUCUGAAGUGCUCUCUGAGAUGGGUGGCUGAGUCCUCUUAAAGUCAGCAUCCUUUCUGGAGUUCUGGCCCCAUGUUGUCUUUGUAUUGGUAUACUGAAGGAUGGGGCAUGAGCUGAACUUUCAGAUGUGGUCUUCUCGAUUGGCUACUUCUCAAAGGGUGCUACACCUCAUUCUGCAGCCAGGCACAAGGCUUCAGGGUUCAAUAGGCACCUAUCUCAGUCCAUUUGUGUUGCUUUCAUGGAAUACCUGAGACUAGGUAAUUUAUAAAGAAAAGAGGUUUAUUUGGCUCAUGAUUCUGGUGGCUGGAAUAUCCAAGAUUGGGCAGCUGCAUCUGGUGAAGGCCUCAGGCUGCUUCUUGUCAUGGUGGAAAGUGGAAGGGAAGUGUUGUGUGCAAAGAGAUCACAUGGUGAGAGAGGAAGCAAGACAGGGAAACUGAGGACACCACACUCUUUCUAACAACUUGUUAUUUUGGGAACUAGUCCAUUCCCACAAGAGUGAUGAUUCACUUCAACUGGAAGGCAUUAAUCUAUUCAUAAGGGAUCCAUCCCCAAUACCCAAACACCUCCCACUAACCCCUACCUCCCAACACUGCCACAUUGGGAUCAAAUUUCAACAUGAGUUUUGGUGGGGGCAAGCAAACCAUACCCAAACCAUAGCCCUGAUCCAUCCUGGGGACGCCCCGCCUCCCCACUGGUAGCCUCGGAGGGGGCUGUGUCCCCAGCCAUGAACAAAGUCUCCUUAGUGUGACACCUGUUGACUCUCGUGGAGAGGGAGGUCGUGGGAGUCAGCUCGAGCUUAUCUUCCUUGGUGGGUGUGACCCAUGGGCAGCAGCGGAAGGCAAGCCGGAAUCCAGAGCGAAACCUGGGGGAGCGAGGGGCACCUUGAGCCAGGGAGUUAGGGGCUCAGGAGCUGUGAUGUGACUGCCCCCACCCCCAGGAAACUGACUCCCUUCCAGAGGAAAGUCACUGUCUCUCUCCAAGAGCCUCCCAUGGCUCAGGGGCUCUUGAGAGAUGCCUUCGUGGGUGAGUUUGAUUUUUGGAAACUGCCAGAGUGUUCUGGAGCUGGGUCUAGUGAAUGAAGUGGGUGACUAAGCUGAUUUAGGUCAUCUGUUAUUACGAACAAAAAAUGACCCCAGCAUAAUUACUAAAAAAACCAACCAACCAACAAACAAACAAAAAAACCAGCAGAUGUUCUUGUCUGACUUGUUAACUGGCUUCUAAGGGAUGAGUCAAAGAAGAACCUGCUAAAACACAAUGGAGGCUUUGGCAACUUGGGAGAACAAGGAUGCUUUUCCCAAGGGGACUACAUUGAAAAACCCACACUCGGAGCCACCAAGUUCUGAUGCAUUUGCUUGAAAACAAACAGCUCUCCCCAUGGCAGCACUGAACGGGAGUUCAGAGGAAGCACACACGGUGAGUGGAAGAAAUCAGACGGCAGAAAGGGAACGCUGGCUGCUCAGAGAAGGGAAUGAUCCAGAAGUGAUGUCAGGAUCUUGUAGAGCCUGGGGUGUUGUUUAGACUCCCAGGGACUGUAUCUCCCUUGGGUAGCAGGAGAGUGAUCAACCCACAGACACAGUGGGCUGGUGGCCCCUCCCAGAUGUCAGAGUCCCUGUCUCCAGGUUUUCAAUCCCACAAGUCUUUAAAAGAGAAAUGCGUGGUGUGGGGAUAAGAUGACAGGCCUUGGAGACCCAUGGAGUCCUGGCUUUACUGUUUGUUGUAUGAAUUUGGGAGCAUCUUACUUUCUGAAGCUCAGUUUCCCCAUCUGUAGAGUGGGGGUGACACCUGCUUCUCUCCUAUUAUCUACUUCCCUCUCAGGAGAUAGAGAGUUCUGGCCUCCUGCAAAAAAUCAUAGCUCCUUAUUUCCUUUUGGCCUGCCCCAGGCGGGUGAAAUGUCUGAGCCACAAAGAUCCCAAUGGCAUUAUGAGUAGCCUGGCUACCUGGCCAGGGAGGUGACAAAAAACAUGAACAAAGAGGUCCAAGGCCAACUUCGCCCACAUCAUUGUCUCACUGAGGUGAGACUGUGUCCACCUCUUGCCGCCCCUUAUUUGCCCCACCUUCAGGGUUUCCUGCCACUGAAAGGCCUGCUCUGCAGAACUCCUGGGGCUGGGUUCCUCCCUGACUCACCACCCCCCACCUCUCCAGGUGCCCCAGAGCAAGUGCAGGCCCCUCUCUGGGACUCAUUUCCUCAGAAUCACGAGGCGUAGGGAAACUGGAUGAUGCCAGGAGAGUGAGAUUCUGGCCCCCUCCUUCCUGGCUGUCUCUGACAGGGUCACUUCCCAGCUGCCCUGAAAGUCCCUGGAGGACAGGGCAUGCACUGUGAGCUUUCCAGGGAGCAGCCUGCCCCACCCCUGUGCUGGCCCCAGCCCCCAUCCACUGCUUCCACUGCCGGAUGGGUGCCAUUCACUUGGCUCCAGGAAAGCCCUCAGUAGGAAGCUUGUGAAAAUACUAGAACAGAAGUCAGUCCCUCCCUCCCGCUACUUAGCUUUUCUUUCCUUCGUCUGUCUGUCCCACCCCCUCUCUGUGACUCUCCCCUCCCCUUCAUCUCUCUGGCCCUCCCUUCUCUCUUCUCUUGCCCCAGACACAGAACCCAGAAGAGCCAGCAGGAACAGACAGACAGUGAGAGCUACAGCCUGGGAGACGGUGAGGAUUUGGGGAGGAAGGGGGCUCAAGCUAGGCCCAGGCCAGAGGGAUUAUUGUGCUGGGGGCUGAGUGUGAGG